UCGAGAAUUUUUCACAAUGGGCGCAAGCCUGAUGGAGCGACGCCGCGUGGGGGAUGAAGGUUUUCGAUCCGUAAACCCCUGUCAUUUGCGAACAAACCUUGAUUGUGAAUAGCGAUCGAGCUGAUUGUAGCGGAAGAGGAAGGGACGGCUAACUCUGUGCCAGCAGCCGCGGUAAUACAGAGGUCCCAAGCGUUGUUCGGAUUCACUGGGCGUAAAGGGUGCGUAGGUGGUUGGUGAAGUUCGGUGUGAAAGCUCGGGGCUCAACUCCGAAACGGCAUUGAAAACUCAUCGGCUGGAGGGUCGGAGGGGAGACUGGAAUUCUCGGUGUAGCAGUGAAAUGCGUAGAUAUCGAGAGGAACACCAGUGGCGAAGGCGAGUCUCUGGACGACUCCUGACACUGAGGCACGAAAGCCAGGGGAGCAAACAG
rnacentral:rRNA from 1 species